CCCAGCAAGCUCUAUAUUCAUGGUGGC
rnacentral:piRNA from 1 species